rnacentral:tRNA from 1 species
AAAAAUUUAGUUAAAUUUAUAACAUUAGUUUGUCAAACUAAAAUUAUUUUGAAAAUAAUUUUUA